GACGAACGCUGGCGGCGUGCUUAACACAUGCAAGUCGAACGGUAAGGCCCUUCGGGGUACACGAGUGACGAACGGGUGAGUAACACGUGGGUGAUCUGCCCUGCACUUCGGGAUAAGCCUGGGAAACUGGGUCUAAUACCGGAUAGGACUCCGGCCUGCAUGGUCUGGGGUGGAAAGCUUUUGCGGGGUGGGAUGGGCCCGCGGCCUAUCAGCUUGUUGGUGGGGUGAUGGCCUACCAAGGCGACGACGGGUAGCCGGCCUGAGAGGGUGACCGGCCACACUGGGACUGAGAUACGGCCCAGACUCCUACGGGAGGCAGCAGUGGGGAAUAUUGCACAAUGGGCGCAAGCCUGAUGCAGCGACGCCACGUGAGGGAUGACGGCCUUCGGGUUGUAAACCUCUUUCAGCAUCGACGAAGCGAAAGUGACGGUAGGUGCAGAAGAAGGACCGGCCAACUACGUGCCAGCCGCCGCAGUAA
rnacentral:rRNA from 1 species